AAAUUAGAAGCUGGAAAUCAAUGAGCCUUUAAGCUAUCCUUGCAUAGGGACCCUCUGUUGUUUGUAUCUGCCUCUAAUAUCCAAUAGUACUCAUGACUGUGAAUGUAACUGGAUUUACAUGAAAUAUAACAGUAUAUGUAAUGACAUCAUCUGCAAUUACACUAGGCCAGUUCAAGCAUGAGCUGAAAAGAUUAGAAUUUUGACCACAGCUACUUCUGUCUGAAGAUGUUUUGCCAGUUUUUGCAUCCUGAGAUGUGAUCAAAGAAACAACAGACUUCAACACACUCAUCAACUCAGCAACAUGGAUCACAGGUGCCCCUACCAGGUGCACACCACAAAUCAUUCCACAUCGCAGCUCUGUUAGGUCUGACAUAUCAUGGUCUUCAGACACAGCACGAGUAAUA